GUCUUUUUAAUUGCAACGAGUUAUUUUGAGAGGAUUUUUUUCCCCGUGCCUCUGGUACAUGCUUCUCCCUUAAGCUGACCUGGUGGCUCACCAAUCUCAUUGUCAUAAUUACCAUCAUCACAAUCACUAUUAUCUUAAUUGGCCUUAUCUCCUCGUUAGCUGCUCGUUAGCUAAUUGACUCGGAGAAUAUCCCGGCAAACGCUUUGCGCGGCGACACAAAAGGCAACAGACGGAGAUCAAGAGGAGACAUCUGCCUGUUGAGAGAAGAGGAAAAACUGCAACAAGCUCGAGCUCAUCUGUCACGGGAGAAAACAAAGAGACGCUAAUAAUUCUGCAGCAUUCUGGAUCAGCUGAAGGUCUGAUAGUUCUGCACAGUCAAACAGAGUUUUGGAGAAUACCAGGAAAUGGUGGCGUGGACGUUUCUGCCAGUCAACACUGUGGCAGGGGCUCUGCUACAGUGGAGGGGAGUGUCUGGACUGAGUGGGGUGUGUGGUGUGGAAAGGAGCAGGAAAGCUGGCUUCCUGGUUGAACAUAAGGUGCUGAAGCAGUGGGAAACGCUGUGUUUUCGAAUGAUACUCGAACUGGAUCGUGGAUCUUGAUCAUUUCACAAACACAUUUCAAAAGACACGACUUUUACUUUGAUAUCAAGUUUCUGUUUCUGGUUUGCGUCACGCUAACUGAACUCUAAAUUGAAAGUCUGGAGUGUUUAACAUUUGUAUUUACUAUCAAGCCACAACACCUGCAAAGGAGUUACACAUAGAUCUCAUAAACAUAAUUUAUGUACAAUGCUU